GUUUGUUUAGUUUUAUUUUAAAAUAUAGUUUUUGUAAUACUAAGAAAAAUUUUUUUAUUUAGCAGGCU
rnacentral:tRNA from 1 species